GCGGCGAAGAUUAGCUCCUUUCGGGGCUAUG
rnacentral:sRNA from 1 species